rnacentral:rRNA from 1 species
GCUCGUAGGCGGUUUGUCGCGUCUGCUGUGAAAACCCGAGGCUCAACCUCGGGCCUGCAGUGGGUACGGGCAGACUAGAGUGCGGUAGGGGAGAUUGGAAUUCCUGGUGUAGCGGUGGAAUGCGCAGAUAUCAGGAGGAACACCAAUGGCGAAGGCAGAUCUCUGGGCCGUAACUGACGCUGAGGAGCGAAAGCAUGGGGAGCGAACAGGAUUAGAUACCCUGGUAGUCCAUGCCGUAAACGUUGGGAACUAGAUGUGGGGACCAUUCCACGGUCUCCGUGUCGCAGCUAACGCAUUAAGUUCCCCGCCUGGGGAGUACGGCCGCAAGGCUAAAACUCAAAGGAAUUGACGGGGGCCCGCACAAGCGGCGGAGCAUGCGGAUUAAUUCGAUGCAACGCGAAGAACCUUACCAAGGCUUGACAUAUAGAGGAAACGGCUGGAAACAGUCGCCCCGCAAGGUCUCUAUACAGGUGGUGCAUGGUUGUCGUCAGCUCGUGUCGUGAGAUGUUGGGUUAAGUCCCGCAACGAGCGCAACCCUCGUCCUAUGUUGCCAGCACGUAAUGGUGGGAACUCAUGGGAUACUGCCGGGGUCAACUCGGAGGAAGGUGGGGAUGACGUCAAAUCAUCAUGCCCCUUAUGUCUUGGGCUUCACGCAUGCUACAAUGGCCGGUACAAAGGGCUGCAAUACCGCAAGGUGGAGCGAAUCCCAAAAAGCCGGUCUCAGUUCGGAUUGAGGUCUGCAACUCGACCUCAUGAAGUCGGAGUCGCUAGUAAUCGCAGAUCAGCAACGCUGCGGUGAAUACGUUCCCCGGGCCUUGUACACACCGCCCGUCAAGUCAUGAAAGUCGGUAACACCCGAAGCCAGUGGCCAAACCCGCAAGGGAUGGAGCUGUCGAAGGUGGGAUCGGUGAUUAGGACUAAGUCGUAACA